CUAAUCUAUAUAUUUUGUUCUAGUGUCCACACAAAUACAAAGUACAGGACAGACCCUGCAAUUUCUUCAGUGCAUUUCAGAGAAAGGCUGCAAAUCAUAAUACAAUACUGAGUAGCCUGGAAGGAAGUGAUGUUUUUCAGAGGAAGGUGAAUAAAUAACUGUAAAAACUGAGUCUUUAUGCCUUAGUCAGAAAUUAUGGUGGACAUACCCUACAUUAAGAAGCCAGAAUCUAUGGAAUGUGUCUUUGUACUGAGUGGCUUAACCAUGUGUCCAUUAGAGGAAGAAUCAAGCCAUCUCCUCCAGUAAUAAAAGAGCUACCAUCUUCACCACGGCACACAGAUCCACAGAAAUGUUGCUGGGGAGAAGCAAGAAUGGGAGGGCAAGUGUAUUCUUUCUAGCUCCACAACAUCAUGGGAAAGAUUUCAUGCCUCUGCAAAUGACUCACUGAAAGAGAACAAAGAUAAAGAUAGAUGUCCAGACUGAUAAUUUAAAAAUGCAUAGGUCAAGACUACAAACUUCAGGGUUUAACUGGCUUGUAUGUUCAAAAGUUAUGAUUGACAAGGUCAAGCCAAAGGUUGACAGCAAGCAUAUUAUCUCAUCUUCAAGAGUGAAAAGCAUUGAAUUUUGAAGGAAAGGCUACAAGCAGUAGGAUAAAUAUAAAAUAAUAAUUUCUUUCAUAUGACUUCCCAGCUAGGGUGACCUCACUGAAGGCUAUAACUCAUGGAUAAAACAAUGCAUCUAAAACUGGAAGUUCUCCAGGGUUUAGACUAUUUCCCUAAUCAGUCUGGGAAGGAGAGAACCUACAGUGAAAGCACUCACAUAUUUAUGAUGAAACAAAUAUUUCCAGAAAACAGCAAUCCAGAGCUCUAAAUGUUCUCUAUUUUAUCCACACUACAGAAAAUAUGAAGGGAAAUGGUAAACCCAAAUAAAGAAAUAUUUCCAUUUUGUACGCAUGAACUUCAAUAACCCACCUGAAAAAGAGAGAAGAUUCAAGAUCCCACAUAUAA